rnacentral:rRNA from 1 species
AGCAGUCGCGCGGGAAUACCGAGGGUGCGAGCGUUAAUCGGAUUUACUGGGCGUAAAGCGUGCGUAGGCGGCUAAUUGAGUCGGAUGUGAAAUCCCCGAGCUUAACUUGGGAAUUGCAUUCGAUACUGGUUAGCUAGAGUGUGGGAGAGGAUGGUAGAAUUCCAGGUGUAGCGGUGAAAUGCGUAGAGAUCUGGAGGAAUACCGAUGGCGAAGGCAGCCAUCUGGCCUAACACUGACGCUGAGGUACGAAAGCAUGGGGAGCAAACAGGAUUAGAUACCCCCGUAGUCCCUGUCUCUUAUACC